AGAAAAUCAUGCCUGGCAGAUCUCAAUCUGUCUCUUCAAGUCAAAGUUCUGAUUUUGAACUUCCUCCACUAUUAAGGCCCUUUCUAAUGCACUCCGCAGGAUCCUCUCUGCUUCAAGCAACGCUGAUUCUUUUGACCUUCUUCAAGAGGAGCAAUGAUGCUCUCAAAUGGAACGGAAUCAUCAUCCUGUUGAUCUUCAUGUAACCUUCUAAGAGCUGCUUCUGCAGCAUAUUGUGCAGCCUGUGCAUCUUUCUUUUCAUUGGCCAGUUUCUUGAUUUCAAGAUUCUGUAAAUGACCAUAUUUUGAAAAGAUGCAUGUUAGAGUCCACCAGUGUUGGUCAUUCUUCCAAUAUUUAUUAUUAGUUCAAUUA